CUACAUCACGUUUAAACACCGGUUGUCGUGCGAUCACAGAAGUUAAGCAACGUUUAGCGUGCUCAGUAACUAGAUGGGUUACCGCUUGGGAAUGUCAAAUGCUGUAAG